UACGUAGGGCGCAAGCGUUGUCCGGAAUCACUGGGCGUAAAGGGCGCGUAGGCGGCCUGAUAAGUCGGGGGGUGAAAUUCUGCGGCUUAACCGCAGGGCUGCCUUCUAAACUGUCAGGCUCGAGCACAGUAGAGGCAGGUGGAAUUCCCGGUGUAGCGGUGGAAUGCGUAGAUAUCCGAAGGAACAUCAGUGGCGAAAGCGACUUCCUGGACCAAUACUGACGCUCAUGUGCGAAAAGCGUGGGGGAGCAAACAGG
rnacentral:rRNA from 1 species